AAGGGUUAACAACAUCUGUUUAUAGCUGUGUCUGUCCUUCCUUUGCCGUACCUGAAGUUGCUGUAUUUUGGUUGCUGACUGUAGAUUCC